rnacentral:ncRNA from 1 species
AACAUAAAAAGGCAAACUUAUGGUAACAUAAGGGCGCAAAGCAAAGUAUCCUAACAUUUUAGGACGGUCUAGCUGCUAUG